AGAACGAACGCUGGCGGCAGGCUUAACACAUGCAAGUCGAACGCCCCGCAAGGGGAGUGGCAGACGGGUGAGUAACGCGUGGGAAUCUACCCAACCCUUCGGAAUAGCUCCGGGAAACUGGAAUUAAUACCGAGUACGCCCUACGGGGGAAAGAUUUAUCGGGGUUGGAUGAGCCCGCGUUGGAUUAGCUAGUUGGUGGGGUAAUGGCCUACCAAGGCGACGAUCCAUAGCUGGUCUGAGAGGAUGAUCAGCCACACUGGGACUGAGACACGGCCCAGACUCCUACGGGAGGCAGCAGUGGGGAAUAUUGGACAAUGGGCGCAAGCCUGAUCCAGCCAUGCCGCGUGAGUGAUGAAGGCCUAGGGUUGUAAAGCUCUUCAGUGGGAAGAUAAUGACGGUACCACAGAAGAGCCCGGCUAACUCGUGCCAGCAGCCGC
rnacentral:rRNA from 1 species